rnacentral:rRNA from 1 species
UACGUAGGGUGCGAGCGUUGUCCGGAAUUAUUGGGCGUAAAGAGCUCGUAGGCGGCUUGUCGCGUCGGCUGUGAAAUCCCGUGGCUCAACUGCGGGUCUGCAGCCGAUACGGGCAGGCUAGAGUUCGGUAGGGGAGACUGGAAUUCCUGGUGUAGCGGUGAAAUGCGCAGAUAUCAGGAGGAACACCGAUGGCGAAGGCAGCUCGCUGGGACGGUACUGACGCUGAGACGCGAAAGCGUGGGGAGCGAACAGG